CCUACGGGGGGCUGCAGUAACGAAUCUUCCCCAAUGCACGAAAGUGUGAGGGAGCGACGCCGCGUGCGGGACGAAGUCCUUCGGGAUGUAAACCGCUGUCAGGGGUUACCAAGUUCUGAGGAGCCCCAGAGGAAGUGGCGGCUAACUCUGUGCCAGCAGCCGCGGUAAGACAGAGGCCACGAGCGUUAGGCGGAAUCACUGGGCUUAAAGCGUGUGUAGGCGGACCGUUAAGUGCCCGCGUGAAAUCCCCCGGCUCAACCGGGGAACGGCCGGGCAUACUGGCGGUCUUGAGCGGUCCAGGGGUCAUCGGAACAAACGGUGGAGCGGUGAAAUGCGUAGAUAUCGUUUGGAACGCCGACGGUGAAAACAGAUGACUGGGGACCCGCUGACGCUGAGACACGAAAGCCAGGGGAGCAAACGGGAUUAGAUACCCUGGUAGU
rnacentral:rRNA from 1 species